CUACGGGUGGCUGCAGUGGGGAAUAUUGGACAAUGGGCGCAAGCCUGAUCCAGCAAUGCCGCGUGAGUGAAGACGGCCUUAGGGUUGUAAAACUCUUUCGCUAGGGAAGAUAAUGACUGUACCUAGUAAAGAAGUCCCGGCUAACUCCGUGCCAGCAGCCGCGGUAAUACGGAGGGGACUAGCGUUGUUCGGAAUUACUGGGCGUAAAGAGUUCGUAGGCGGACUGACAAGUUAGAGGUGAAAUCCCAGGGCUCAACCCUGGAACUGCCUUUAAAACUGUCAGUCUAGAGACCGGAAGAGGUUAGGGGAAUACCUAGUGUAGAGGUGAAAUUCGUAGAUAUUAGGUGGAACACCAGUGGCGAAGGCGCCUAACUGGUCCGGUACUGACGCUGAGGAACGAAAGCGUGGGGAGCAAACAGGAUUAGAUACCCCUGUAGUC
rnacentral:rRNA from 1 species